CCUACGGGAGGCAGCAGUGGGGAAUAUUGGACAAUGGGCGAAAGCCUGAUCCAGCAAUGCCGCGUGAGUGAAGAAGGCCUUCGGGUUGUAAAGCUCUUUUACCCGGGAAGAUAAUGACUGUACCGGGAGAAUAAGCCCCGGCUAACUCCGUGCCAGCAGCCGCGGUAAUACGGAGGGGGCUAGCGUUGUUCGGAAUUACUGGGCGUAAAGCGUACGUAGGCGGCUUUCUAAGUCAGAGGUGAAAUCCCACGACUCAAUCGUGGAACUGCCUUUGAGACUGGAUCGCUUGAAGAUGGGAGAGGUAAGUGGAAUUCCGAGUGUAGAGGUGAAAUUCGUAGAUAUUCGGAAGAACACCAGUGGCGAAGGCGGCUUACUGGACCAUUCUUGACGCUGAGGUACGAAAGCGUGGGGAGCAAACAGGAUUAGAUACCCUGGUAGUCCACGCCGUAAACGAUGAUAACUAGCUGUCGGGGCUCUUAGAGCUUCGGUGGCGCAGCUAACGCAUUAAGUUAUCCGCCUGGGGAGUACGGCGCAGGUUAAACUCAAAGGAAUUGACGG
rnacentral:rRNA from 1 species